rnacentral:rRNA from 1 species
AUUGAACGCUGGCGGCAGGCCUAACACAUGCAAGUCGAGCGGUAGAGAGAAGCUUGCUUCUCUUGAGAGCGGCGGACGGGUGAGUAAUGCCUAGGAAUCUGCCUGGUAGUGGGGGAUAACGUUCGGAAACGGACGCUAAUACCGCAUACGUUUUACGGGAGAAAGCAGGGGACCUUCGGGCCUUGCGCUAUCAGAUGAGCCUAGGUCGGAUUAGCUAGUUGGUGGGGUAAUGGCUCACCAAGGCGACGAUCCGUAACUGGUCUGAGAGGAUGAUCAGUCACACUGGAACUGAGACACGGUCCAGACUUCUACGGGAGGCAGCAGUGGGGAAUAUUGGACAAUGGGCGAAAGCCUGAUCCAGCCAUGCCGCGUGUGUGAAGAAGGUCUUCGGAUUGUAAAGCACUUUAAGUUGGGAGGAAGGGCAGUUACCUAAUACGUAAUUGUUUGACGUUACCGACAGAAUAAGCACCGGCUAACUCUGUGCCAGCAGCCGCGGUAAUACAGAGGGUGCAAGCGUUAAUCGGAAUUACUGGGCGUAAAGCGCGCGUAGGUGGUUUGUUAAGUUGGAUGUGAAAUCCCCGGGCUCAACCUGUGAACUGCAUUCAAAACUGACUGACUANAGUAUGGUAGAGGGUGGUGGAAUUUCCUGUGUAGCGGUGAAAUGCGUAGAUAUAGGAAGGAACACCAGUGGCGAAGGCGACCACCUGGACUAAUACUGACACUGAGGUGCGAAAGCGUGGGGAGCAAACAGGAUUAGAUACCCUGGUAGUCCACGCCGUAAACGAUGUCAACUAGCCGUUGGAAGCCUUGAGCUUUUAGUGGCGCAGCUAACGCAAUAAGUGACCGCCU